GAUGAAGAACGCAGCGAAAUGCGAUAAGUAAUGUGAAUAGCAGAAUUCAGUGAAUCAUCGAAUCUUUGAACGCACCUUGCACCCUUUGGCAUUCUGAAGGGUAUGCUCGUUUGAGUGUCAUUGUACUCUCACACUCCCGAUCUUUGCAUUGGGAGCAGUGGACUUGGGUUUGCUGCUUCACCGUCGCUUACCUCAAAUAGGUUAGUGCAACUCUUGGUUGGACAUAGUACGGCGUGAUAAGUGUUCUUCGCCGGUGCCUCGCAAAGAGGGUGGCCGAUCGGGAUGUUGUGCUCCAAACCGUCUUCGGACAAUCUCUGACGACUUGACCUCAAAUCGAGUAAGACUACCCGCUGAACUUAAGCAUAUCAAUAAGCGGAGGA
rnacentral:misc_RNA from 1 species